UAUAAAUCAUAUACAAGUUUUUCUUAGUAACCGUUGCAACACUUUAAGGAAGUUAAAACACACCUCUCUUCAUUUUUUUUCCAAAACCUAGUUCGCUUUUUAUCUUCUAUUGAUAGUUCUCCCUUCUCCCCCUCUCAGACGCGUACAUUCAUGCCCUCACAAUCUUCGAGAUUGUAGUUAUAGGUUCCCUCACCACUUAAAUAUUCUAUCUUAUGGUUUUCUUCAACACUGGCUUCACCCUUUGUUGUGAGAUUCCUAUAGGAUUUGUUCAGAUUCCGGUGGAAGUUGUUGGUCCUUUGUUGCUAGACGGGAAAGAGUUCUGAUGACAGUGCUUCCACCAUUGUCCUCUGUUACGGCAUGACUAGACCACUUAUUGUUAGAUUCAAUUCUGACAAAAUAUUGAUUCCUCUGCUCACACUUUCAACAAAUUUGCGAGAUUACAAAGUAUAAAACCAACUAUAGUAUUGGACAAUGUCAUGGAGAAAUCUGCAGGAUUGUAUACUGAUCCUUUCCUUGUAUAAUUUAAUUCUAUUCCAUCAACUUCAAUGGGCAACUUCCUUAAAUAAGAACAUGAUGUCUUUACUGAAUGAAGAACCUAAAAGUCUCUCCAAUCAAAUUGGCAGAUUCCUUUUGAAGAGAAUAAAUGGUUGCAUAAAAAGUCUAUAGAUGUUUGAAUCUCACAUCUAAGUUGUGAUACUCUGUUUAUUUAUUCAACUUUGUUCUGGUCGGAUGGUUGCUUUAUACAUGAAGUGGAUUUGAUGUUUAAACAUAUCUUAGUGUGCUAGAAAA